GGGCAUGAAGGUGAUCGGGCUGUGAUAUGGGUUCAUUCGGCAGAUCCAACUGGCUGGGUAGGUAUCUCCCUUCUUCCUCCCCCUUCUACAAGAGCCUCACCUGAAGAUGAUCGUUCAAUUAAAGAGGAUGACCCUCCAUGGACAGAGAAGGGCCCAGACUUCAAUUAAGGGUAUAUAAAUGGCUGUGCUCCCUAUGAGGACAACCAGAGAAGCUCCCAAGGCUAAAAUAUGCCAUUG
rnacentral:sRNA from 1 species